AUGUGUGUGUGUGUGUGUGUGUGUGUGUGUGUGUGUGUUUGUGUGUGUGUGUGUCUAUGCAUAUCUGCGCAUGUACGUAUGCAGGGUCUGUGUCUUCUUUCAACUAGCACAGACACUUCUCCCAGAUUCUUUUAGCUGUGGUCUGAUGAGUUGUCUCGCUAUGACUAAUCUCUCUCCCUGCUCUCUCAAAAAUUUUUGCCUUUCCAGGCAUAUUCCCCCAAUCCAAUUUUUACUUUGGACUAAACUGUUUUCAAAUUUUCUUUACUAUUCUUAUAAAAUAUUGAGAAUUUGUUAGCCGUCCGCCAUCAAAUCUUCAAAUACACAAUAUAAUUUUUCAAAUUAUCAUUUGUAUUUAUUUUCAUUUACCUUUUUUAUUGUUGUUUUAAAUAUCCAAAUAAAAUUCCUAAAUGCCCUUUACUUUCGUAAAUCUACUCCUCCCAUUUAAAAAUAAAGGGUUACUCCAUAAAUUAGAAAGGCCCUACUUUUCUCCCAAACCUUUCGUUAUUGAAAUACAUCUUUCAUGAUUUAUCAAACAACUAGUAUCAUCUUCAUCUUCAUUAAAGUGAAUCCCUACAUCAUCAUCAUCAUCAACAUUAUCAUCAUCAAUUUAGGAAAUCAUUUCCUACAUUAAUGUAGAAUUCUUUGGGUACUUUCUGAUUUAUAUUUUAAUAGUAAAACAGUAAGAUCUCCUGUUCUUUCAGCCAUGGCAGCAAUAUUAGAAUAUAGAGGGGAUCUUCUUACAGAUUCCUGAUCAACAGGCUGCUCCAAGCACUAGUAUGCUGCUCUCACUUAUAUUGGUCCUUGCCCAGUGUGUGUGGACAUUGUCAUAUGCUAGCAACAAAUAGUUGGGGACAAUGAGUGAGAGUUUAGCAGCAUAUGGUGAGGGAAGGAGCAGAGUGGAUCAGUUAGGCCAUCUUCAAAUGCCCAACAGCUUUGUAACCUCUUAUGAUUACAUGCACACACACACACGUGCACACAUACAUAACUAUUGAUAUAAAAAGAAAUUAUGUAUAAAACAUGAAUGACUAUAUCAAACUCAAUAAUUAGAUUGUUAUGUUCCGACACAUAACAUUGCAGUAAAUCCAGUGGAAAAAGCUUAUAUUAUAAAUGGCUAAAAUGAUCAUUAUGAGCUAUAUAUAUUUAGAAUAAAAAGCAGGAAAGCAUAAAUUUAACAGAUAGUUUGGGAUUUAAUUACUUUCAACAGCUGUUUCAUUAGGAAUGAACAUCAUUAACUCCAUAAUUUUGAAAUUUAGAUACAUAAUUAAUUUAAAGCAAUGCUUAUCCAAAAUCAUCAGAGAUAUGGUCUAUGCUAAUGAUAGGCUGAUGCUGGGAUAAACAUAGCUUCAGAUUAAUGAUUUAAUAUAUACUAAUCGAUUCUGCAUCUUAAUUAUGUAAGUGUGGAAUUAAUGAUGUUUAUUUCUAAUGAAACAGCUAUUGAAAGUAAUUAAAUUAUAAACUGUGAAAUUUAUGCUUUUCUACUUUUAUUCCACACACACACACACACACACCACAUACAACAUGCUUAAUAUGUCAGAGCUAGCUCUAACAUGCUACGAUUCUUUGAAAUUACUGUUCUUAUAUCCAAGAUAACUAAGGACUGGCUUCAUUUGUGGUCUGUUGGUUUGUGUUUUGGCACCAGCACCACACCAUAAUCACAGGCCACUUUCUAGCUUUCUUAUUCACCAGAUUGGCAAUAUUUCUUACUGUAAUAAACACUGACAGACUCCAAUAUUUGGGUUUACUGUGACUCCUUUUCCAAUCUAAAGUUGUGCAGGAGCUAUGGCUUUUAAUUAUAGAUUGUAUAAGACUGUAUGACUAGUAAGCCCUAUCUAAUUUUAGUUACUACUAAUUGGAUAAAUAGAACAAUAAUAAUAUGACUAUAUAUAAUUAGUCAACCUAUUACAGUAAUAGUAAUGAGAAUACAUUUUAAACAAUUUGGACAAAUGUUCUAUACAUUUCCAACCUUGGGUUUUUUUUCCUCUUUGGUCUGUCCCGAUGUGACAAUCUUCUUCAGUGGUUUCAACUAACCAGCAGGCUAUUUCUGCAACAAGUCUCACAGCCUCAUCAUGGUUGCUGUUCAGAUAUUGGACUAUGUUUAUUUUGUUUUGUCUGGUUUUAUUUAUUUGUGUGGGUGGUUGUGUGUGUGUAUGUAUGCAUGUGUGAGUAUUUGUGUGCAUGACCAAGCUUGUUUGCUCGAGUUAAUUCAACUUUAGCCUCUUUGUCUCCACAGAUGAUACUUGGCCCACACAAUAAAACAUGUUACUUUGACAUAACAAUGAAAUUUC